GACGAACGCUGGCGGCGUGCUUAACACAUGCAAGUCGAACGGAAAGGCCUGCUUUCCCUUGUGGAUUGCGGGUACUCGAGUGGCGAACGGGUGAGUAACACGUGAGUGAUCUGCCCCCAACUUGGGUAUAAGCCUGGGAAACUGGGUCUAAUUCCCGAUAGGACUGCAGGGUGGUGCCUGUGGUGGAAAACGAUUUUCUAGUGGGUGGGGAUGAGCUCGCGGCCUAUCAGCUUGUGGGUGGGGUAAUGGCCUACCAAGGCGGCGACGGGUAGCCGGCCUGGGGGGGUGGACGGCCACAUUGGGACUGGGAUACGGCCCAGACUCCUACGGGGGGCAGCAGGGGGGAAUAUUGCACAAGGGGCGGAAGCCUGAUGCAGCGACGCCGCGUGGGGGAUGCCGGCCUUCGGGUUGUAAACUGCUUUUGACCGCGAGGAAGCCACCUGGUUGGAAGGGUGGUGACGGUAGUGGUAGAAGAAGCACCGGCUAACUACGUG
rnacentral:rRNA from 1 species